AUGGCUUGGCUGAGUGGUCUUGCCCAGAAACUGACUAUCUCCCAGACUCCUGCUCUCAUUGUAGAGAAAACUGACCAGGAGGUUCUGAUGAACUGUGAACAGGUGACCACUAACCACGACUGGAUGUUCUGGUACCACCAAGAGAAGGGACAGGGUCUGAAACUGAUCGCCAGAAAGCUGAAAGAACAAGAACCCGACUAUGAAGGAAAAUAUAAAGAAGUCUACAUUAUGGGAAGUGAAGGAGACAAGCAUAGCUCCCUGAAGCUUAAUCUGGCAGCUCAGAGUCAGGGGGUCUACUUCUGCGCCUCCAGUGAUGCACAGUGA